rnacentral:rRNA from 1 species
UACGUAGGGGGCAAGCGUUGUCCGGAAUCAUUGGGCGUAAAGCGCGUGUAGGCGGUUCAGUAAGUCUGCUGUGAAAGUCCAGGGCUCAACCCUGGGAUGCCGGUGGAUACUGCUGGGCUAGAGUACGGAAGAGGCGAGUGGAAUUCCCGGUGUAGCGGUGAAAAUGCGCAGAUAUCGGGAGGAACACCUAUUGCGAAGGCAGCUCGCUGGGACGUUACUGACGCUGGAGACGCGAAAGCGUGGGGAGCAAACAGG